UGUGUUUUGUGUACCCUUCUGCGUGUCGUGCGCAUGACGCGACGCGAGAACACAUAACGACGGACGAGCGCGACGAACAACACCGAAUCAUCGGCUAUUCAACGCACAGCGUCCGUUCGAAUCUGUGUCCUCUAGUGGUUGGUGUGGAUUAUUGUUUACGUUAUAACACGCGCGUCGCGAGCCAGUCGCGUCUUGCGUUUACACGUUAAUGAUCCUUCCGCAGGUUCCCCUACGGAAACCUUGUUACGACUUUUACUUCCUCUAAAUGAUCAAGUUUGGUCAACUUCCCAGCAACGCCGACGGCCGUGAAGCCACCGCGUGUCGGUCCGAAGACCUCACUAAAUCAUUCAAUCGGUAGUAGCGACGGGCGGUGUGUACAAAGGGCAGGGACGUAAUCAACGCGAGCUUAUGACUCGCGCUUACUA